rnacentral:rRNA from 1 species
GCCAGAGCCAUAUGUCCCUGCAAUUCUUGCCUGGAUAAGCAGGGUUGAGUCUGGCCAGUACCUGGAUGGGAGACCUCCUGGGGAAAACUAAGGUUGCCGCUGGAC